AGAAGUUCCACUGAACCUUAUCAUUUAGAGGAAGGAGAAGUCGUAACAAGGUUUCCGUAGGUGAACCUGCGGAAGGAUCAUUGUUGAGUUACCAGAAUAAAUGACGAAAGAACUAUUUGUUAAUUGAUGUUUUGUCUUGCAUACAAAUAUGAUGAUAGUGGAGUAUGUUUCCUUGAUUGGUUUGUUUGUGGAUGGGCAUGGCCAUCUCCACUUCUUUCAUGGAUGUUGGGGUCGGCAAAUAAUGAUCAUUGGCACGGCAUGUGUCAAGUAUAUAAUUUGUUCAUCGAUGUGUGACUUUUGUACGAUGUUUGCAAAGAACAAUCGAAAGCACGCAUGUGUUGGCACAAUAGUGGCAUUAUGCCACACUAAAGAUAUGACUCUCGACAAUGGAUAUCUAGGCUCUUGCAUCGAUGAAGAACGUAGCGAAAUGCGAUACCUGGUGUGAAUUGCAGAAUCCCGUGAACCAUCGAGUAUUUGAACGCAAGUUGCGCCCAAGACCUCUUGGUUGCGGGCACGCCUGCCUGGGCGUCACAUCUUAUGUUGCUCCAUCCGACAAGUCCCAUAUGAUGUUGAUGGAAGCGAAAAUUGGCUCACCAUGCUUUUGUAGUCGUGGUGAGCUGAAGUACGAGAUGCUGAUGGAGCGCACAAGUAUGUGGUGGGCAUAAGAAUAUAUUUCUGAUGUGGACGAUGUUGUUCUCUCCUUGGCCUAUAUGUGCUCGCAUAAGCGUGCUCAAGGGACCUUUGAAUGCUUCCUGUGUAUGGCGCUUCUCCCUUGUAUUGUGACCCCAGGUCAGACGGGACUACCCGCUGAGUUUAAGCAUAUCAAUAA
rnacentral:rRNA from 1 species